rnacentral:misc_RNA from 1 species
UCCGAUUUGUCACCGGCAGUCCCACUAGAGUGCCCAACUUAACGAUGGCAACUAAUGGCAAGGGUUGCGCUCGUUGCGGGACUUAACCCAACAUCUCACGACACGAACUGACGACAGCCAUGCAGCACCUGUGCACGAUCUCCGAAGAGGGGCUCUCGUUUCUGAGAGCUUGCUCGUACAUGUCAAGCCUAGGUAAGGUUCUUCGCGUUGCGUCGAAUUAAACCACAUGCUCCACCGCUUGUGCGGGCCCCCGUCAAUUCCUUUGAGUUUUAACCUUGCGGCCGUACUCCCCAGGCGGGAUGCUUAAUGCGUUAACUUCGACGCCGCAGGGGUCAAUACCCGCGACAUCUAGCAUCCAUCGUUUACGGCGUGGACUAC